AGCAUGCAGUGAGAAGCAGUGGUUCUAAAUUACAUGGCUACAGAUGUAUAGUUUUGCAAAAUGUGAAGCUCUGAAAAAUGUAGCCUAUAUUGAAUAAAACCAUUUAAAGAGACACUGUAUCGUCAUGUUGUCCAGGCUGGUGUCAAACUCCUGGACUCAAACAAUCCUCCUGCCUCAGCCUUCCAAAGUACUGGUGUGUCCGGAAUUGGUGGGUUCUUGAUCUCACUGACUUCAAGAAUGAAGCCGCGGACCCUCACGGGGCCUGAGAAAUAACUGGAAUUAUCCCACUUUACAGAGGAAGGAAUAGAGGCUCCAAAAGAUGAAGAAACUCCCUCAUAUUACCACAAUCUGACAAUAAGUUAUCCCUUGAAAACUGUUCAUGAAAACCGGAUAAGGAAGGACUCUGUACUUUCAACGCUCACCAAGGCUGAUUCCUCAAUGGAAGGAGAAUUUAAU